UGCCAGGUGGGAUUGAUCUCGGCCGGCUUUUGUGGUGGGAUCGACCUUUUCCGGCCUUCUGGGUGAGAUCUUCCUUCUCCUCUGGCUCUCCAGGUGGGAUUUGGCUUCUUCAGCUCUCCUGGUGGGAUUCACACCUGUUCUUCCAGUUCUCCAGGUGGGAUUCCUCUCCAAUUCUCCUGGUGGGAUUCAUACUUGAUUUUUUAGGUGACGUUUAUCUUCUUCAACUCUUCAGGUAGGAUUUACCCUCUCCAA